GCCCCGUUCGUCUAGUGGCCUAGGACACCACCCUCUCAAGGUGGCGGCACGGGUUCGAAUCCCGUACGGGGUAC
rnacentral:tRNA from 2 species